UACGUAGGGGGCUAGCGUUGUCCGGAAUCAUUGGGCGUAAAGCGCGUGUAGGCGGCCCGGUAAGUCCGCUGUGAAAGUCGGGGGCUCAACCCUCGGAUGCCGGUGGAUACUGUCGGGCUAGAGUGCGGAAGAGGCGAGUGGAAUUCCUGGUGUAGCGGUGAAAUGCGCAGAUAUCGGGAGGAACACCCGUAGCGAAGGCGGCACUCUGGGCCGGAACUGACGCUGAGGAGCGAAAGCGUGGGGAGCAAACAGG
rnacentral:rRNA from 1 species